GAGUUUGAUCGUGGCUCAGAGUGAACGCUGGCGGCAGGCCUAACACAUGCAAGUCGAACGGCAGCGCAGUCCCGCAAGGGAUGGGCGGCGAGUGGCGGACGGGUGAGGAAUACAUCGGAAUCUACCUUGUCGUGGGGGAUAACGUAGGGAAACUUACGCUAAUACCGCAUACGACCUACGGGUGAAAGCGGCGGACCGCAAGGCGUCGCGCGAUUGGAUGAGCCGAUGUCCGAUUAGCUAGUUGGCGGGGUAAAGGCCCACCAAGGCGACGAUCGGUAGCUGGUCUGAGAGGAUGAUCAGCCACACUGGAACUGAGACACGGUCCAGACUCCUACGGGAGGCAGCAGUGGGGAAUAUUGGACAAUGGGCGCAAGCCUGAUCCAGCCAUGCCGCGUGUGUGAAGAAGGCCUCGG
rnacentral:rRNA from 1 species